rnacentral:lncRNA from 1 species
GUUUCAAUAUUUUAGGGUUGAUUACUGUGUUCAUUCACUACUAAUUUUUUUUUUUUCUCUAGGGAGAACUUCUGAUGAUGCAGAUUUCUUGGGAAAUGUGUUGAUUUCACCAUAUUCAGGAAGGAUCGAUUAUCAUUUCUUGUGCCUAAGGUUCUUUGCAGAAUUUACAUCAAAAAUGCUUGAAGAAAGAUAGACAGAUAACAUGUAGAAAUAAUAUUUUGGAUGCAUUGGGUUAAAUUGAGUAUAUUAUUAAUGUUAAU